GAUGAAGAACGUAGCAAAAUGCGAUAAGUAAUGUGAAUUGCAGAAUUCAGUGAAUCAUCGAAUAUUUGAACGCUCAUUGCGUCCGCCAGUAUUCUGGCGGGCAUGCCUGUUCGAGCGUCAUUUCAACCCUCAAGCUCAGCUUGGUGUUGGGACUCGCGGUAACCCGCGUUCCCCAAAUCGAUUGGCGGUCACGUCGAGCUUCCAUAGCGUAGUAAUCAUACACCUCGUUACUGGUAAUCGUCGCGGCCACGCCGUAAAACCCCAACUUCUGAAUGUUGACCUCGGAUCAGGUAGGAAUACCCGCUGAACUUAAGCAUAUCAAUAAGCGGAGGA
rnacentral:misc_RNA from 1 species